CAAAGAUCUAAAGUUGGUGUGACUCAGAAGUGAUUUUUGGUGGACUUGUUUAGAAGAACUUACACCGUGGGUGCUGGCAGCUGUGAAAGCCACAAAGGAGUUGGUCAAGUCCAGAGAGCUACUUUAGACCUCCACGAUGUUCAGGCGGCAACUGGAUUGCAAUUGAAGCCGGGCACUCGCAACAAGUGCGUGGCAGCCGUUAAAAGCAAGUGACUGCUAAUUAGAUAGGCAAACCCCCCAGAAAGAUGCUUUUGGGUUCUCUUAGGUACUUCAGUUUAUUUUCACCUGCGUCGACUUAAAAUAUCGCUUAAAGCCUGUUCAAGUGGCACAGAAAUCA